CGUUGCCAGUUUUUAGUACCAAAAUAAUAAGAAAAAACGGCUCCCAGGCCGCCCAUUAGAAACCUUAAAACCAGUUCUUUAAACGUUACUUGGCGUGGAAGGACUCUUUUGAGACCGUUUUUAAGAUCAUGCCCCCUGGAACCACGGUGAGAUCAGGGACAUUCGGACUCCCAACGGAAUUUACCGUUUUUGAAACGGACACCGUUUCGGGAGCGUUGGGAAUCUUCGGACCCCCCUCCCCCACCCCACCCCCCAGUAGGCCGAAAGACGAGAUGAUUGGAGUCGUUUCUGGCUCUUAGGGGAAAGCUAAGCAGUUGAAUUGGCUUAUUUGAUAGGAUACGGUAUUUUUCCUCUAGUCACUUUCUUCAUUUUCUUGUUAAUGUUCGUGAAGAAAUUGAAGAGUUUUUUCCAAGAAUGUGGAAGAUAAAUCAAGAUAAAAGAAGGCUAAUGAAAAGUAUUAAAGAUCAGAAAAUUAAAAUUGAAUGGGGGAAAAAAUUGAACAGAAGAUUGGUCAGAUAGAAGCCCUUGAAUAUUUUUAAGGCUAUUAUGAAAUGUUUGAAUUGGGGAAGAAAAACGAAGUAUGAAAAA